rnacentral:rRNA from 1 species
GACGAACGCUGGCGGCGUGCUUAACACAUGCAAGUCGAACGGAAAGGCCCUGCUUUUGUGGGGUGCUCGAGUGGCGAACGGGUGAGUAACACGUGAGUAACCUGCCCUUGACUUUGGGAUAACUUCAGGAAACUGGGGCUAAUACCGGAUAGGAGCUCCUGCUGCAUGGUGGGGGUUGGAAAGUUUCGGCGGUUGGGGAUGGACUCGCGGCUUAUCAGCUUGUUGGUGGGGUAGUGGCUUACCAAGGCUUUGACGGGUAGCCGGCCUGAGAGGGUGACCGGCCACAUUGGGACUGAGAGACGGCCCAGUCUCCUACGGUAGGCAGCAGUGGGGAAUAUUGCACAAUGGGCGGAAGCCUGAGGCAGCAACGCCGCGUGCGGGAUGACGGCCUUCGGGUUGUAAACCGCUUUCGCCUGAGACGAAGCGUGAGUGACGGUAAUGGGUAAAGAAGCACCGGCUAACUACGUG